AUUAGUUUACUAUUGGAGCGGUUAGUGGCGGACUGGUGAGUAACACGUAAGCAACCUGCCUUUCAGAGGGGGAUAACGGCUGGAAACGGUCGCUAAUACCGCAUGACGUGUUCGGAUGGCAUCAUCUGAACAUCAAAGAUUUAUCGCUGAAAGAUGGGCUCGCGUCUGAUUAGAUAGUUGGUGGGGUAACGGCCUACCAAGUCUGCGAUCAGUAGCCGGACUGAGAGGUUGAACGGCCACAUUGGGACUGAGAUACGGCCCAAACUCC
rnacentral:rRNA from 1 species